CCUGGGAACUGCGUUNUGAACUGGGUGGCUAGAGUGUNUCAGAGGGAGGUAGAAUUCCACGUGUAGCAGUGAAAUGCGUAGAGAUGUGGAGGAAUACCGAUGGCGAAGGCAGCCUCNUGGGAUAACACUGACGUUCAUGCCCGAAAGCGUGGGUAGCAAACAGGAUUAGAUACCCUGGUAGUCCACGCCCUAAACGAUGUCGAUUAGCUGUUGGGCAGCAUGACUGCUUAGUAGCGAAGCUAACGCGUGAAAUCGACCGCCUGGGGAGUACGGUCGCAAGAUUAAAACUCAAAGGAAUUGACGGGGACCCGCACAAGCGGUGGAUGAUGUGGAUUAAUUCGAUGCAACGCGAAGAACCUUACCUGGUCUUGACAUGUACGGAACCCUCCAGAGACGGAGGAGUGCCUUCGGGAGCCGUAACACAGGUGCUGCAUGGCUGUCGUCAGCUCGUGUCGUGAGAUGUUGGGUUAAGUCCCGCAACGAGCACAACCCUUGUCAUUAGUUGCCAUCAUUAAGUUGGGCACUCUAAUGAGACUGCCGGUGACAAGCCGGAGGAAGGUGGGGAUGACGUCAAGUCCUCAUGGCCCUUAUGACCAGGGCUUCACACGUCAUACAAUGGUCGGUACAGAGGGUAGCCAAGCCGCGAGGCGGAGCCAAUCUCACAAAACCGAUCGUAGUCCGGAUUGCACUCUGCAA
rnacentral:rRNA from 1 species